rnacentral:rRNA from 1 species
ACGGACGAGAAGCUUGCUUCUCUGAUGUUAGCGGCGGACGGGUGAGUAACACGUGGAUAACCUACCUAUAAGACUGGGAUAACUUCGGGAAACCGGAGCUAAUACCGGAUAAUAUUUUGAACCGCAUGGUUCAAAAGUGAAAGACGGUCUUGCUGUCACUUAUAGAUGGAUCCGCGCUGCAUUAGCUAGUUGGUAAGGUAACGGCUUACCAAGGCAACGAUGCAUAGCCGACCUGAGAGGGUGAUCGGCCACACUGGAACUGAGACACGGUCCAGACUCCUACGGGAGGCAGCAGUAGGGAAUCUUCCGCAAUGGGCGAAAGCCUGACGGAGCAACGCCGCGUGAGUGAUGAAGGUCUUCGGAUCGUAAAACUCUGUUAUUAGGGAAGAACAUAUGUGUAAGUAACUGUGCACAUCUUGACGGUACCUAAUCAGAAAGCCACGGCUAACUACGUGCCAGCAGCCGCGGUAAUACGUAGGUGGCAAGCGUUAUCCGGAAUUAUUGGGCGUAAAGCGCGCGUAGGCGGUUUUUUAAGUCUGAUGUGAAAGCCCACGGCUCAACCGUGGAGGGUCAUUGGAAACUGGAAAACUUGAGUGCAGAAGAGGAAAGUGGAAUUCCAUGUGUAGCGGUGAAAUGCGCAGAGAUAUGGAGGAACACCAGUGGCGAAGGCGACUUU